rnacentral:rRNA from 1 species
UACGAAGGGGGGCUAGCGUUGCUCGGAAUCACUGGGCGUAAAGCGCGCGUAGGCGGUUCUUUCAAGUCAGAGGUGAAAGCCCGGUGCUCAACAUCGGAAUUGCCUUUGAAACUAGGGAACUUGAAUCCAGGAGAGGUGAGUGGAAUUCCGAGUGUAGAGGUGAAAUUCGUAGAUAUUCGGAAGAACACCAGUGGUGAAGGCGGCUCACUGGACUGGUAUUGACGCUGAGGUGCGAAAGCGUGGGGAGCAAACAGG